rnacentral:rRNA from 1 species
AUUGAACGCUGGCGGCAUGCCUUACACAUGCAAGUCGAACGGCAGCACGGGUGCUUGCACCUGGUGGCGAGUGGCGAACGGGAGAGUAAUACAUCGGAACGUACCUUAUCGUGGGGGAUAACGCAGCGAAAGCUGUGCUAAUACCGCAUACGCCCUGAGGGGGAAAGCGGGGGAUCGAAAGACCUCGCGCGAUUAGAGCGGCCGAUGCCUGAUUAGCUUGUUGGUGGGGUAAAAGCCCACCAAGGCGACGAUCAGUAGCUGGUCUGAGAGGACGAUCAGCCACACUGGGACUGAGACACGGCCCAGACUCCUACGGGAGGCAGCAGUGGGGAAUUUUGGACAAUGGGGCAACCCUGAUCCAGCAAUGCCGCGUGAGUGAAGAAGGCCUUCGGGUUGUAAAGCUCUUUUGUCAGGGAAGAAACACCGGCUCUAACACAGUCCGGGAAUGACGGUACCUGAAGAAUAAGCACCGGCUAACUACGUGCCAGCAGCCGCGGUAA